GACGAACGCUGGCGGCGUGCUUAACACAUGCAAGUCGAACGGUGAAGCCCUUCGGGGUGGAUCAGUGGCGAACGGGUGAGUAACACGUGAGCAAUCUGCCCUUGACUCUGGGAUAACUUCGGGAAACCGGAGCUAAUACCGGAUAUGACGCAUGGCCGCAUGGUCUGUGUGUAGGAAAGAUUUAUUGGUCAGGGAUGAGCUCGCGGCCUAUCAGCUUGGGUGGGUAAUGGCCUACCAAGGCGACGACGGGUAGCCGGCCUGAGAGGGCGACCGGCCACACUGGGACUGAGACACGGCCCAGACUCCUACGGGAGGCAGCAGUGGGGAAUAUUGCGCAAUGGGCGAAAGCCUGACGCAGCGACGCCGCGUGAGGGAUGAAGGCCUCGGU
rnacentral:rRNA from 1 species